AUUUGGCUUUUGUUGGCUGCUGAGAAACGAAACGGUGGCAGUAACAAGGGCAACUUUAUUUCACUUGUGGUUUUGAUUCAGCUGAGAGGCAACAUGUGGGACACGACUGCCGUACCCCAGCUGUUGCAGAAUUGAAAAAGAAGAAACAAUCAAUCGGCCAUGGAGUGGUUUCAGCUGGGCAGGGACUCAGCAGGACUGGAUGCACCCACAAUCACUACAAUGCAUGACUUUUUUAGCAUGUAGUAGCAUUAAGCUGUCCUGAUGGCUCAGCAAAAAAAUGCUGAAGAGAACAACAGCUGCCCUUCUU
rnacentral:lncRNA from 1 species